CUCAACACGGUCUGAUGUUGCUGAGGUAUUAAAUAGGGACAGACACAGCGCUGGUGUUAAUGCAAGAUAAUCAUACACACCACCUCAUAGACAUAGAGACAGACACACCCCAUGAGAAGGUGACAUUUUGAAGACUUUUUGAAAACCGACAAGGAAAGGUUCAGCUGAAAAUACACGUGGCAGAAUCCUCGGACAAGAUCACACUAUCACGUGUUGAUGGUUUCACUUUCAGCCCUAAUAAUGAAACUACUCAUAUAUUGGAUUACAAAGAUGAGAACACAGGGGAGUUUGUAUGCAAGAAAGACGGAAGGGAAGAUCGCAAAAUCUAUGUGAAAUGUCGGAGUAAUUACAGUACUGCCCCUUCCCUCAAUGUACAAUGAUAUGGCACAAUAAUUUUUUAAGAACUCAAUAUUUGUUUAUGUGUAUGCCAUUAUAAUACACGUCAUUAUAAUGUACAUGUGUGUAAGGGAUUGUGCGUGCAUUGUGUGUAUGUAUGGCGUGUUUGUGUGUGUCCCCAGCCUGUGAUAAAUGCAUUAAACUGGAUACAGCUACGGCUGUAGGGAUGGUUGUGGGAGUCCUGGUGGCCACUGCCUGAUUGGAGUAGUUGUUUACUGCAUCGCCUCACAGCCCAAAGCAACUCUAACCGCCGGCAAGAAAAACAGAUCUGAAUACAGCACUCUGCCGGAAAGGAGAUGAGAAUAAUAAAAUAUGCUCAGUGCUACAUUACUUUUACCACCCCUCAGAAUAAUAGUUGUAAAGCAUUGAGAAAUCAGGUCCACAAUGUCCAUGACAAGUAUCUCAACUGUCAAUUUGAUGUACAGUCAAUGGUUCUGUACAAGUUAAUGCCAUUCGGAUGUACAUACAUUGCCUGUUUGCUCAGUUGCUUUGUUAAGUUUGCGCUACUGUUUUGCAUGAACUAAGAUUUCCUUCUGGAACCAUAUAUCACACGUUUGUUGAAUUCUAUUUAUUUAUUUAUAUUGUAGAGAAAUUGUUUAUGGACAUACAUACAUUUUCCACGUAUUUAAAAAAAAAAAUAAAAUAAAAACAUUUUAGGCUGUUUUGUUAUUCCAUGUAGUAACACAAUGUUUGAUUUGCUUUUAUAAUCCGAGCAUAUCAUUUUUUUUCAACCUGUGUACAGAUAAUGUUUGAAGAAUUAAGGUGUACGACGGUUAGUUUUGAACUCCAAAGCUCUCGCUCAUCACUGUACCCUCUGCAUGAGAGGGAGCGGGCCUUUCUUAGCUCUUUGGAGACAUAGUCAUUGGUACGUCUUCAUCGAUAAGGCCAUACUGAGACAGCUUCCCUUUUGCCUGUGUACCUACAUUGCCCAGCAGACAAAUGACACCUAUCAGCUCCGCUCAGAGGACGGUAUCUUGUUGACUGUGCCUGGAUAGAGCUGGGUAAAAAAAGCAUUCUAUUUCUCUGGCCCUUCCACUUGCUACAAGCUACAGAAGGACAGGAAAUUGCAGGAGCUCGUGUUUUUGAAUUAGUUUAAAGAUCAGGUCAAAUCUAUGGUGGACAAUAAAGUGGGUGGCUGUCAAUGUUUUGACUCCUAGAUGCAACACACCUCACCAAAUUCAUUUCAAUUGUCGUGCUUUGUGUUUCAUGUUGUAAUUGUCUCUGAAGCAACUAUUUUGGCCAGGUCUCUCUUGGAAAAUAGGUUUUUAAUCUCAAUGAGACUAACCUGGUGAAAUAAAACCGAAAAUAAAGAAAUAAUGAAAUGGAAAGUUGGUCACAAAAUAACG